rnacentral:misc_RNA from 1 species
CUGGUAUUGCAUUUCUUUUGAAGGGAGAGUAUGAUAUUGUUCGGAAUUUCAUUCUUCACACACUUCAGUUGCAGAGCUGGGAGAAAACAAUGGACUGUCACAGCCCGGGUCAGGGAUUGAUGCCUGCUAGUUUCAAGGUGCGUACAGUUCCCCUGGAUGGUGAUGACUCAGCAACUGAAGAGGUAUUGGAUCCCGACUUUGGAGAGGCAGCAAUAGGUCGUGUUGCACCUGUUGAUUCUGG